rnacentral:rRNA from 1 species
GGAAUAUUGGUCAAUGGACGCAAGUCUGAACCAGCCAUGCCGCGUGCAGGAUGACGGUCCUAUGGAUUGUAAACUGCUUUUGUACAGGAAGAAACAACUCUACGUGUAGAGUCUUGACGGUACUGUAAGAAUAAGGAUCGGCUAACUCCGUGCCAGCAGCCGCGGUAAUACGGAGGAUCCAAGCGUUAUCCGGAAUCAUUGGGUUUAAAGGGUCCGUAGGCGGUUUAGUAAGUCAGUGGUGAAAGCCCAUCGCUCAACGGUGGAACGGCCAUUGAUACUGCUAGACUUGAAUUAUUAGGAAGUAACUAGAAUAUGUAGUGUAGCGGUGAAAUGCUUAGAGAUUACAUGGAAUACCAAUUGCGAAGGCAGGUUACUACUAAUUGAUUGACGCUGAUGGACGAAAGCGUGGGUAGCGAACAGGAUUAGAUACCCCAG